rnacentral:rRNA from 1 species
GACGAACGCUGGCGGCGUGCUUAACACAUGCAAGUCGAACGGAAAGGCCCUGCUUUUGUGGGGUGCUCGAGUGGCGAACGGGUGAGUAACACGUGAGUAACCUGCCCUUGACUUUGGGAUAACUUCAGGAAACUGGGGCUAAUACCGGAUAGGAGCUCCUGCUGCAUGGUGGGGGUUGGAAAGUUUCGGCGGUUGGGGAUGGACUCGCGGCUUAUCAGCUUGUUGGUGGGGUAGUGGCUUACCAAGGCUUUGACGGGUAGCCGGCCUGAGAGGGUGACCGGCCACAUUGGGACUGAGAUACGGCCCAGACUCCUACGGGAGGCAACAGUGGGGAAUAUUGCACAAUGGGCGGAAGCCUGAUGCAACAACGCCGCGUGCGGGAUGACGUCCUUCGGGGUGUAAACCGCUUUCGCCUGUGACGAAGCGUGAGUGACGGUAAUGGGUAAAGAAGCACCGGCUAACUACGUG